AAAAGAAGCCAAUAAUAGGAUAUUCAAAGCAAAUCCAGUCAUGAAAGAUUAAGCUUCAAACUUUUCAUGCUUUGCAUUCUUCUCCAUAGAAGUCGAUCGUUCUUUUCUGAUUUCCAUUGCUGGCAUUGCAGGGACCCAAUUCCACUGCCAGAGAAAGUGCGGAAACCCCUCACACAAGUUCAAUAAUUUAACCUACAUGUUGAUCACAGGGCUGUGGAUAGAGCAGAAUGUGAUCAAAAGUUAAG
rnacentral:misc_RNA from 1 species